UACGAAGGGGGCUAGCGUUGCUCGGAAUUACUGGGCGUAAAGGGAGCGUAGGCGGAUAGUUUAGUCAGAGGUGAAAGCCCAGGGCUCAACCUUGGAAUUGCCUUUGAUACUGGCUAUCUUGGGUACGGAAGAGGUAUGUGGAACUCCGAGUGUAGAGGUGAAAUUCGUAGAUAUCUGGAGGAACACCGGUGGCGAAGGCGGCAUCCUGGACCGGCAUUGACGCUGAGGCGCGAAAGCUAGGGGAGCAAACGGG
rnacentral:rRNA from 1 species